rnacentral:rRNA from 1 species
UACGAAGGGGGCUAGCGUUGUUCGGAUUUACUGGGCGUAAAGCGCACGUAGGCGGAUCUUUAAGUCAGAGGUGAAAUCCCAAGGCUCAACCUUGGAACUGCCUUUGAUACUGGGGAUCUUGAGUCCGGGAGAGGUGAGUGGAACUGCGAGUGUAGAGGUGAAAUUCGUAGAUAUUCGCAAGAACACCAGUAGCGAAGGCGGCACUCUGGGCCGUGACUGACGCUGAGGAGCGAAAGCGUGGGUAGCAAACAGG